rnacentral:rRNA from 1 species
GACGAACGCUGGCGGCGUGCCUAAUACAUGCAAGUAGAACGCAGUUGCGAACGGGUGAGUAACGCGUAGGUAACCUGCCUCAUAGCGGGGGAUAACUAUUGGAAACGAUAGCUAAUACCGCAUACUGUGAGAUGGACCUGCGUUGUAUUAGCUAGUUGGUGAGGUAAAGGCGCACCAAGGCGACGAUACAUAGCCGACCUGAGAGGGUGAGCGGCCACACUGGGACUGAGACACGGCCCAGACUCCUACGGGAGGCAGCAGUGGGGAAUAUUGCACAAUGGUCGCAAGCCUGAUGCAGCCAUGCAGCGUGUAUGAAGAAGGCCUUCGGGUCGUAAAGUACUUUCGUGGUGGAGGUGGUACCCGCAGAAGACGCAGCUGCUAACUCUGUGUCAGCAGCCGCGGUAAUAC